UCCCUAACAGCUAAGUUGGUAAAGAAUCUGCCUGCAAUGCAGGAGACCCCAGUUCAACCCCUGGGUUGGGAA
rnacentral:tRNA from 1 species